CAGUCGCCGCGGUAAUACGGAGGGGGCUAGCGUUGUUCGGAAUUACUGGGCGUAAAGCGCACGUAGGCGGCUUGGUAAGUUAGAGGUGAAGGCCUGGAGCUCAACUCCAGAAUUGCCUUUAAGACUGCCGAGCUAGCAGGUGAGAGAGGUAAGUGGAAUUCCGAGUGUAGAGGUGAAAUUCGUAGAUAUUCGGAAGAACACCAGUGGCGAAGGCGGCUUACUGGCUCAUACUGGACGCUGAGGUGCGAAAGCGUGGGGAGCAAACAGGAUUAGAUACCCGCGUAGUCCCUGUCUCUUAUAC
rnacentral:rRNA from 1 species